rnacentral:misc_RNA from 1 species
UUAACUAUUUAAUAGUACUCAGACGACACUAACAUUCAGAGUUUAGGGUCCUCUGGCGGGCACGCCGAACGUGAAUCCGGGCAAGCCAGGCUUGCGGCCCGCCAAAGCAACAUUUGAUAAUGAUACACAAGGGUGGGAGAUCUACCCCGAAGGGCAUGAACUCUGUAAUGAUCCUUCCGCAGGUUCACCUACGGAAA